CUGCUGGCACGUAGUUAGCCGUCCCUUUCUGGUAAGCUACCGUCACAGUGUGAACUUUCCACUCUCACACUCGUUCUUGACUUACAACAGAGCUUUACGAUCCGAAAACCUUCUUCACUCACGCGGCGUUGCUCGGUCAGGGUUGCCCCCAUUGCC
rnacentral:rRNA from 1 species